rnacentral:rRNA from 1 species
UACGAAGGGGGCUAGCGUUGCUCGGAAUCACUGGGCGUAAAGGGUGCGUAGGCGGGUCUUUAAGUCAGGGGUGAAAUCCUGGAGCUCAACUCCAGAACUGCCUUUGAUACUGAGGAUCUUGAGUAUGGGAGAGGUGAGUGGAACUGCGAGUGUAGAGGUGAAAUUCGUAGAUAUUCGCAAGAACACCAGUGGCGAAGGCGGCUCACUGGCCCGAUACUGACGCUGAUGCACGAAAGCGUGGGGGAGCAAACAGG